UACGGGGGGGGUAAGCGUUGUUCGGAAUUACUGGGCGUAAAGAGCUCGUAGGUGGUUUGUCGCGUUGUUCGUGAAAACUCACAGCUUAACUGUGGGCGUGCGGGCGAUACGGGCAGACUGGAGUACUGCAGGGGAGACUGGAAUUCCUGGUGUAGCGGUGGAAUGCGCAGAUAUCAGGAGGAACACCGGUGGCGAAGGCGGGUCUCUGGGCAGUAACUGACGCUGAGGAGCGAAAGCGUGGGGAGCGAACAGG
rnacentral:rRNA from 1 species